rnacentral:pre_miRNA from 1 species
UAUGUGUGUGUGUGUGUGUGUGUGUAUGUAUAUACACAUAUAUAUGUAUGUGUAUGUAUAUACACACAAACUCACAUGCACGCA